GCCGGGCAUGGUGGCACACGCCUGUGGUCCCAGCUAAUUAGGAGGCUGAGGCAGGAGAAUCGCUUGAACCCGGGAGGUGGAGGUUGCAGUAAGCCGAGAUCGUGCCACUGUAGUGGCACGAUCUCGGCUUACUGUAUCACUCUAGCCUGGGUGACAGAGUGAGACUCUGUCUCAA
rnacentral:SRP_RNA from 2 species